rnacentral:tRNA from 1 species
GGGGAAUUAGCUCAGUUGGGAGAGCGCCUGCUUUGCAAGCAGGAGGUCACCGGUUCGACCCCGGUAUUCUCCACCA